rnacentral:rRNA from 1 species
AUUGAACGCUGGCGGCAGGCCUAACACAUGCCAGUCGAGCGGAUGAAGGGAGCUUGCUCCUGGAUUCAGCGGCGGACGGGUGAGUAAUGCCUAGGAAUCUGCCUGGUAGUGGGGGAUAACGUCCGGAAACGGGCGCUAAUACCGCAUACGUCCUGAGGGAGAAAGUGGGGGAUCUUCGGACCUCACGCUAUCAGAUGAGCCUAGGUCGGAUUAGCUAGUUGGUGGGGUAAAGGCCUACCAAGGCGACGAUCCGUAACUGGUCUGAGAGGAUGAUCAGUCACACUGGAACUGAGACACGGUCCAGACUCCUACGGGAGGCAGCAGUGGGGAAUAUUGGACAAUGGGCGAAAGCCUGAUCCAGCCAUGCCGCGUGUGUGAAGAAGGUCUUCGGAUUGUAAAGCACUUUAAGUUGGGAGGAAGGGCAGUAAGUUAAUACCUUGCUGUUUUGACGUUACCAGCAGAAUAAGCACCGGCUAACUUCGUG